AUUAUGAAAAUGUUUCCUUGGCAGUAAUAAGAUCAAUUUGUACGGUUAUAAUAAUUGAAAUCUGUCAAUUACUAUCCUUUGAAUUUAUAAGCGUAGACAGGCUCUGAGGGGAAUAUUAAAGAAGGGGGAAUAAUGUUUUCCAACGGGAGCACUUCGUAUAUAAACUGUGGUUACUGUUUUUCUCAUUCAUUCCUGUUUAGCGAGCUGUGACUGAUCCUGGCAUCACACAAAAUGCGGCUAGUAACGAUUGUUGCGAUGGCGAUAACCGUAGCUUUGGCGGUGUUGGUGCGUUGCUGCGAGAGUGCCAACCUCCGCGGCUUCGCCCUCCCUGAGGAAGACGAGGAGUUCAGGCACCGGCCUCUGUACAGAGACUACAGCUUGAUCCGCAGGGCUGCCCGCGCUGAUGACGCAUUUGACGACUACGGUCACCUCCGAUUCGGCCGAUCUGAUGACUGACGCAAGCGCGCCUCUCGCAAAAGACAACCCACGGUCCAGCAUAGAGAACGAAAGCCAGACAAAUCGUGUACUUAAUUAUUAGGUCUUUAUAAGCGGAAUCCGUUUCAUAAUAACAUAUAAUUUUAAUGUAUUUUUGUAGAUGUAGAUAGAGUAUGAAUUUUCCUUUUUUAUAUAUGUUGGGACAUUCAAUAAUUUCAUUUCUAUAAAUUCAAUUUCAUUUCUCUGCAAAACAAUGUAGGUAAGUGAAAUAUUGAGGGCUGGUUAAAUAUUUCACACUGAACUGUUCUUCAAUAGAAAACAUAAGUCUGGGAUUUGUUAUACCUACUUACGGUAUUAUUAUUUACUUUGAAACUAUGUAUAUUAUAUCUUAUUUAAAUAUUGUAGCUAAGUUAUAACUAAGUAGAAAUAAAACACAUGAGAUUA